UAAUACGGAGGUGGCAAGCGUUACUCGGAAUCAUUGGGUGUAAAGGGUAGGUAGGCGGCCUGAUAAGUGAGGGGUGAAAUCCUGCGGCUCAAUCGCAGAACUGCCUUUCAAACUGUCAGGCUUGAGAGUGGAAGAGGAGAAUGGAAUUCUCGGUGUAAGGGUGAAAUCUGUAGAUAUCGAGAAGAACACCAGCGGCGAAGGCGAUUCUCUGGUCCAUUUCUGACGCUGAUCUACGAAAGCUAGGGGAGCAAACAGAAUUAGAUACUCUGGUAGUCCUAGCCGUAAACGAUGAGCACUAGGUGUUGGCCCUUCGGGGUCAGUGCCGCAGCCAACGCAUUAAGUGCUCCACCUGGGGACUACGGUCGCAAGGCUA
rnacentral:rRNA from 1 species